rnacentral:rRNA from 1 species
GACGAACGCUGGCGGCGUGCUUAACACAUGCAAGUCGAACGGAAAGGCCCUGCUUUUGUGGGGUGCUCGAGUGGCGAACGGGUGAGUAACGCGUGAGUAACCUGCCCUUGACUUUGGGAUAACUUCAGGAAACUGGGGCUAAUACCGGAUAGGAGCUCCUGCUGCAUGGUGGGGGUUGGAAAGUUUCGGCGGUUGGGGAUGGACUCGCGGCUUAUCAGCUUGUUGGUGGGGUAGUGGCUUACCAAGGCUUUGACGGGUAGCCGGCCUGAGAGGGUGACCGGCCACAUUGGGACUGAGAUACGGCCCAGACUCCUACGGGAGGCAGCAGUGGGGAAUAUUGCACAAUGGGCGGAAGCCUGAUGCAGCAACACCGCGUGCGGGAUGACGGCCUUCGGGUUGUAAACCGCUUUCGCCUGUGACGAAGCGUGAGUGACGGUAAUGGGUAAAGAAGCACCGGCUAACUACGUGCCAGCAGCCGCGGUGAUACGUAGGGUGCGAGCGUUGUCCGGAUUUAUUGGGCGUAAAGGGCUCGUAGGUGGUUGAUCGCGUCGGAAGUGUAAUCUUGGGGCUUAACCCUGAGCGUGCUUUCGAUACGGGUUGACUUGAGGAAGGUAGGGGAGAAUGGAAUUCCUGGUGGAGCGGUGGAAUGCGCAGAUAUCAGGAGGAACACCAGUGGCGAAGGCGGUUCUCUGGGCCUUUCCUGACGCUGAGGAGCGAAAGCGUGGGGAGCGAACAGGCUUAGAUACCCUGGUAGUCCACGCUGUAAACGGUGGGUACUAGGUGUGGGGUCCAUUCCACGGGUUCCGUGCCGUAGCUAACGCUUUAAGUACCCCGCCUGGGGAGUACGGCCGCAAGGCUAAAACUCAAAGGAAUUGACGGGGCCCCGCACAAGCGGCGGAGCAUGCGGAUUAAUUCGAUGCAACGCGUAGAACCUUACCUGGGUUUGACAUGGAUCGGGAGCGCUCAGAGAUGGGUGUGCCUCUUUUGGGGUCGGUUCACAGGUGGUGCAUGGCUGUCGUCAGCUCGUGUCGUGAGAUGUUGGGUUAAGUCCCGCAACGAGCGCAACCCUUGUUCACUGUUGCCAGCACGUUAUGGUGGGGACUCAGUGGAGACCGCCGGGGUCAACUCGGAGGAAGGUGGGGAUGACGUCAAGCCAUCAUGCCCCUUAUGUCCAGGGCUUCACGCAUGCUACAAUGGCUGGUACAGAGAGUGGCGAGCCUGUGAGGGUGAGCGAAUCUCGGAAAGCCGGUCUCAGUUCGGAUUGGGGUCUGCAACUCGACCUCAUGAAGUCGGAGUCGCUAGUAAUCGCAGAUCAGCAACGCUGCGGUGAAUACGUUCCCGGGACU